UUUUUUCUUGUUCUUGAUGAUGUGUGGAAUGAAGACCUUGAUAAGUGGAAUGAUUUGAAGGAGCAACUGUUAAAAAUUAACAGCAUGAAUGGGAAUGGUGUUGUUGUUACAACCCGCAAAAAGCAAGUCGCAGACAUGAUGGAGACUUCUCCUGGUAUUCAGCACGAGCCAGGAAAACUAACAGAUGAUGAAUGUUGGUCCAUUAUUAAGCAAAAGGUGAUUCCAUUGCUUGCUAAAGUUUUGGGAGGAACACUGCGCCGAAAGGAGACGCAGGAAUGGAAGUCAAUUCUAAACAGUAGAAUUUGGGAUUCUCCGGAUGGAGAUAAUGCUUUGCGCGUAUUGAGAUUAAGUUUUGAUUACCUGUCAUCGCCAACACUGAAAAAAUGUUUUGCAUACUGUUCCAUUUUCCCUAAAGAUUUUGAAAUUGAAAGGGAAGAGCUGGUGGGGACACCAGGCCCACACCACAGAUUACACGAGUAUAUGGACGGAGACGGCGCAGGAUGGCCCAGCCUGUCACGCUUUGGUUGGGGGACUAAGCCCAUGUGGGCCUAUUUCAUUGUUAUUUUAUUUAGCCCGUUUAGGUCUGCUCAUUGUUAUUUAUGUUAAACAAUUCGAUUUGAAGGGCCGAGCCCAAAUAGCAGGAUGUUUUAGGGUUUACUUUUAGGGUUUACUAUUUAUAUGUUCUUUUGUUAUUUUGAGAGGUACUUUUGAUGAUUAAUGAAAAAUUGCAGAAUUUGCAUAUCUCUAAUCCCCUUUCUUCCUCUUCUCUAGCUUCUUUCUUUCCCUAAAGCUUAUUUUUUUUCCUGUUUUAAUUCUUAUUCUUUAUUGUUCCGCAUCAAAUUUGGUAUCAGAGCACGGCUUUUAAUUGUUCUUACAAUUAAGCGAUCUAUGUGUUUAUGUUUAACCCUAGAUUAAUCUGAAAAAAAAAAAAUUCAGAAAACAACUACUGUUCUGAUAAAAAAAAAUAAAAUCGUUACUGUUCAAAAAAAAAUCAGGAACAACUACUGUUCCGAUCAAAAACAAAAACUACAACUCCCGUAACUGUUCACAUUAUUGUUCCCCCCGUUACUGUUCAUCUUCAAUUUUCAGCAGCGACGCCCCGCCAUCACCGGCGCCUCAGACUAUAGUUCCACAGAACGAUCGGCCACCACCUACACAUCAGUUCCACAGAACGAUCGGCCAUUCUACAUCAACGCCGAUCGUAGCCAACGAUCACAGCCACCGAUCACCAGUCCACACCGAUUCACUGCCUUCAACAACCCACAGCGCCGCGGCCAUAGCAGUUCUUUGUCUUCGGUCCCAAACCAUCAGCUGCAACCACCACUAACUCGCGCCCUAGCAGCAGCAGCAGCCACAACGCCACCGUCAACAGUGUUAUCACCUUCAGCAGCGACAACAGAUCAAGGACGACGUCCAACAGCGACACCACCGACACCACCGCCUCCUCCCUCGCACCGCCAGACCCAAGCAGAAACAUGAAGCUCCAUCAGAAUCAGCAAGCUUCGUGCACCAUCGCCGACAGCAGCGGCCACAGGUGACAGAAGCCAGGAAAACACGAAGAUAGAAGCUGGGAAAAUAAUCAACCUAGACACAUCAGCGACACGUCAGCGCAUCAGUUGAUUGCCACGUCAGUAGUGACUUCCACGUCAGCAGCUCUACCCACAUCAUCUGCCUCGUCAGCAUACCCUGCCAUGUCAGCUGCCACGUAAUCCUUCACUGCCACAUCAUACGGUCAGAAUUUUUACCCAUUGAAAAUCAUCAUUCUGGUAUGUUUUUACACUUGUUAAUCAAUAUUUAGCAUUAAUAUUAUCCUUUGUGCUUGCCCAUAACUAGAUUACAUAGCCAACUUUUAAAUUGAAUUACUUUAAUUUUGAGUAAUUGAAGAUUGGAUCCUCUUAGUUAAUUGUGGAGCUUGGUUAAAUUAGUGGGAAAACUGAAACAUUGUGUUUGAAUUACUUGUGUGCAUUUAGAGGACUUACAUUACUUGCAUGCGCAUUUUCCGGGUUUAAUCUAUCAUUACUUAGUUUCCAAGAUAAUAAUAAUAUAAAAAAAAUUCUUUAUUUAUUUUUCUUUAUUUAUUUUAUUAUUAUUAGCUAUUUUAUUUUGCGUUUUACUUGCAAGUGUUAUUUUGUGAUCUCAGUCUCAGGAUUAGUUUUUGCAUGCAUUUACGUAGUGGUCGUCUAGUCACAAUCUAGAAGUCAUACUACCAUGGACCCGAACUCUAGUAAUGUUCUUAGAGAUAUUCAAGAACAAUUACAACUUAUGCGAACAGAAAUGGGCAACAUGUCCAAUCAAAUGAACAAUCUUUCUGGGAGGAUGGAGUCUAUAGAAACUUUGCAAAUAAGACAGUCUAGUGGGAGUGAACAUUCAAAUGACAACCAUAGAAAUCCUCAAAGACCAGUUCCUCGUAGGAACCGCCACCAUAACCAACACCAGGGUCACAAUGACUUUGAUGACCCUAAUGAUAGUGAGCAUUCCAAUGACUACCGUCAAAGACCAGUUCAUCCUAGGAACCGUCAGUACAACCGCAAUCAGGGCCAUCACGAAUAUGAUGACCCUGACGAGCGAGUCAUGAGGCAUAUUAAGGUAGAAGCCCCAACUUUUGAGGGUCAACUUGACCCGUGGAUUUUUGAUAGAUGGAUCCGUGACAUGGAUCAAUUCUUUGGCUGGUAUAAUCUAUCUGAGAAUAGAAGGGUAAGAUUUGCAAAGAUGAAACUUAGUGGAACCGCUCAGCUUAUUGGGAAAGUGUAGAAGAGUCUUUGAUUAGGAGAGGUCAACCCCCCAUUACUGAUUGGGUUGAAAUGAAGACUAAGUUAGAAGAAAAGUACUUGCCUCGUUCUUAUAGAGGAAAUCUUUUGGACCAGUGGAAUAACCUUAGACAAGGAGGCAAGUCUGCCAAUGAAUAUGUGGCACAAUUUGAUGAGUAUAGGAUGAGGUGUGCAGUUAGGGAGGAUGAAGUGAUGACCUUAAGUAGAUUUCGAAAAGGCUUAAACGAUGACCUUAGACGAGAGGUUGUGCUUAGGGGUGUUUCCACCCUUGAUGAAGCUUAUACCCUAGUACAAAAUUAUGACUUGGUCACAAAAAGCCAGUGGACAAGACGUCAGGACACUCGUAGUACCCCUUUUAGAUCUCAACCUGGUAGUAAUAAUUCCAUAUUAGGUGCCCCACCCGUAAACCAAAUCCUUUGAUUUCCCGAUACCUAGGAAGACAAGGUAAGGGUAUUUUUCAUGAAGCACCUAGAACUUCAAGAAUUCAGUGUUUUAAGUGUCAGGGUUUUGGUCAUAUUUCCUCUAGCUGCCCUAAUAAAGCUUUGUUCAUCAAGGGGCAAGAGGAUAUAGAUGAAGAUGAUAAUUGUGAUGAUAAGGUAUAUGAACCCAAUCCCGAUGAUUUUCAAGAUUUAAAUGAUGAGGAUGAUGAGUCUAACUUGCUAGGAUGUGUUAGGUCUAUAUCCACUCAAAUCAAGACAACUAGGUUAGGUGUGGUUAGAUGUGCUUUAACACAACCUAAAGGAACUGAGGAUUGGAGAAGGACUGCUAUAUUUUACACUUACAUUAAAUGUGGAGAUAAAGGGUGUAAGAUCAUUAUUGACAGUGGUAGUUGUAUUAAUGCAGUUUCAUCGGGUAGUGUAUCCCGCUUAGGCUUAAAGUCUGUUCCACACCCUAAGCCCUAUAGCGUGUCUUGGGUUAAUGAUACAUCUAUAGCAGUCAAAGAGAGAUGUCGUUUUCCCAUUAAGAUUUUUGACUAUCAUGAUGAAAUUUGGUGUGAUGUCAUUCCCAUGGAUGUAGGGCAUGUGAUUUUGGGUAGGCCUUGGUUAUAUGAUUUGGACGUUACAAUCUUUGGACGAUCAAAUUCUUGUUCAUUCACUUUUCAAGGUAACAAAAUCCAACUUAUUGGAUUACCUCCAAGCCUAAUGAUAAUAGUCAAAAGAAGAAUAAAGUGAAAAAGGAGGACUUAACAUAAUAAGUCCUAAGGAGUUUGAUAAGGAGAUUUGUGAGGAGUCUGUUGUGUUUGCUGUAGUGGCUAAGAGAUUGUAGAAGACUUUUUAGAAGAGCCACCUGAAGAGGUAAGAGAAGUGUUGAAAGAAUUUCUAGAUGUUUUCCCUUCUGAACUACCUGAUGCUUUGCCCCCUAUGCGUGAUGUUCAACACGCCAUAGAUUUUGUCCCUGGGGCCACAUUACCAAACUUGCCUCACUAUAGGAUGAACCCAAAGUGAACAUGCUGAAUUGCAAAGGCAAGUAUGUGAGUUGUUACAAAAGGGAUUUAUACGAGAGAGUUUGAGCCCUUGUGCAGUACCUGCACUGUUAACACCCAAGAAAGAUGGAUCAUGGAGAAUGUGUGUUGAUAGUCGAGCCAUAAAUAGGAUUACAAUCAAGUAUCGUUUUCCAAUUCCUCGAUUGGAUGACAUGCUAGAUAUGAUGGCAGGAGCCCAAAUCUUUUCUAAGAUUGACUUAAAGAGCGGGUAUCAUCAGAUUAGGAUCCGUCCUGGAGAUGAGUGGAAAACAACAUUUAAGACUAAAGAUGGUUUAUAUGAAUGGCUAGUCAUGCCUUUUGGCCUGUCCAAUGCACCAAGCACUUUUAUGAGAGUAAUGACACAAGUGCUUCGGCCAUUUAUGGGAAAAUUCUUGGUGGUAUACUUUGAUGAUAUUCUUAUUUAUAGCAAAACAAAGGAAGAACAUUUCGAUCAUCUUAUUCAGGUUUGUACCACCCUAAGAAAGGCAAGUUUGUUUGCAAAUGUCAAAAAGUGUUCCUUCUUUACAGAUCAAGUGAUCUUUUUAGGGUUUAUAGUGUCAUGGAAAGGAGUCUCUGCUGACCCCCAGAAAGUCCAAGCGAUCGUAGAUUGGCCUGAACCUAAGACUAUUCAUGAGGUUCGUAGUUUUCAUGGGCUUGCGACUUUCUAUCGUCGUUUUAUUAAGGGAUUUAGCACUAUCAUGUCACCUAUUACAGAUUGUUUGAAACAAGGUGAGUUUAAGUGGAGUAAAGGAGCUAAUAGGGCAUUUGAGGAAGUUAAGAAAAAAAUGACGGAGGCCCCAGUAAUGCGGCUACCUGAUUUUACUAAAGUGUUUGAAGUAGAAUGUGAUGCUUCGGGAGUUGGUAUAGGUGGAGUACUUAGUCAAGAACGUCACCCUGUAGCCUACUUUAGUGAGAAACUUAAUGAGGCCAAACAAAAGUACUCAACUUAUGAUAAGGAGUUUUAUGCGGUGGUUCAGGCCUUGCGCUAUUGGCGACAUUACUUGUUGCCACAGGAGUUUGUUCUAUACUCCGAUCAUGAGGCCCUCCGCUAUCUUAACUCCCAAAAGAAGCUUAAUCAUAGGCAUGGUCAUUGGGUUGAAUAUUUGCAAGCAUAUUCAUUUGUUUUGAAACAUAAAUCUGGAAUAGAGAAUAAGGUUGCAGAUGCUUUGAGUCGUCGAGUAACGUUGUUAUCUGUCAUGAGUGUUGGAGUCAUAGGAUUUGAGAGACUUAAAGAGGAAUAUGAGUCUUGUUCAGAAUUUGGAGAAAUAUACUUGACAUUAAAGGAUGAAAAUCACCGUGUAAUAAAUGGUUAUCACUUCCACAAUGGAUACUUAUUUCGGGAUAAUAAACUUUGUAUCCCGAAAACGUCUGUGCGUGAUUUUUUGAUAUGGGAGAUUCAUGCUGGAGGUCUCUCAGGAUUUUGGGAGGAAUAAAAACGAAGAGGUAACGCCAGUUUUUUUGGUCUAGUUUGAAAAGAGAUGUUGCAAAAUUGGUAAGUCAGUGUCGAACUUGCCAACUAGCUAAACAUAGAAAACAAAAUACUGGUCUUUACACCCCAUUGCCCGUUCCUACUUGUCCUUGGCAAGAUGUAAGUAUGGAUUUUGUGCUUGGACUUCCACGUACUACAAAGAAACAUGAUUCUAUUUUUGUGGUUGUUGACCGAUUCUCUAAGAUGGCCCAUUUUAUCCCUUGCACUAAGACCACAGAUGCUUCCAGAGUUGCAAAACUCUAUUUUGACGAGAUUGUCAAGUUGCAUGGCCUUCCCCAAACCAUAGUCUCGGAUAGGGAUGUUAGAUUUACAAGUUAUUUCUGGAAAACCCUUUGGCAUAUGGUAGGAACCAAAUUGAAGUUUUCUACUGCUUACCACCCCCAAACUGAUGGUCAAACUGAGGUGGUUAACAGAAGUUUAGGAAACCUCUUAAGGUGUCUAGUGAGUGAUCAUAAUCGGAAUUGGGAUCUGAUUCUUCCUACAGCCCAGUUUGCCUAUAAUAGCUCUAUCAAUAGGUCAAUAGGCAUGAGUCCCUUUGAAGUUGUACAUGGUUACAAGCCUAGGAAGCCUUUAGAUCUUCUUCCCAUGUCCCUUAAUGCUAGAGUGUCUGAGUCAGCUGAAUCUUUUGCACGUAGAAUUCAGGAUUUGCAUAUUGAGAUCACUAAACAGAUUCAAGCAAGUAAUGCGCAAUAUAAACUUCAAGCUGAUUUACAUAGACGACAUAAUGAGUUUAAUGUUGGAGACUAUGUUAUGAUAAGGAUUAGACCCGAACGAUUUCCUUCGGGAGCUAAUCGAAAAUUGCAUGCACGUAGUGCUGGGCCUUUCAAAGUGCUACAACGGGUUGGUACAAAUGCUUAUGUUCUUGAUUUACCACAUGAUUUUGGCAUUAGCUCUACAUUUAACAUUGAGGAUCUAGUUGCAUACCACAAACCACUUCCAAUUCCAAAUAACCCAUUUGAGAUACCACUUAACUCCCCUACUGAUGAUGCUAUUGAGCCCUCUAUCCCUUUCACCUUGACAUCAGCACAAAAGGAUAAUAUUGAUGCUAUUCUGGAUGAACAAGUUGUUUUUAACAGGAAUGGUGAGGUUCGACGGUUUCUAGUUCGCUGGGUGGGUCGGCCUGACUCAGACUACACAUGGAUUACUAGAGAUACUUUGCAGCAGCUUGACCCAGAUCUUUGGGAGUACUAUCAGAGUCGGCCAAUGCUACACUCGACGGGGUCGAGUUUUUCCAACCCCGGGAGAGUUGGUGGGGACACCAGGCCCACACCACAGAUUACACGAGUAUAUGGACGGAGACGGCGCAGGAUGGCCCACCCUGUCACGCUUUGGUUGGGGGACUAAGCCCAUGUGGGCCUAUUUCAUUGUUAUUUUAUUUAGCCUGUUUGGGUCUGCUCAUUGUUAUUUAUGUUAAACAAUUCGAUUUGAUGGGCCGAGCCCAAAUAGCAGGAUGUUUUAGGGUUUACUUUUAGGGUUUACUUUUAGGGUUUACUAUUUAUAUGUUCUUUUGUUAUUUUGAGAGGUACUUUUGAUGAUUAAUGAAAAAUUGCAGAAUUUGCAUAUCUCCAAUCCCCUUUCUUCCUCUUCUCUAGCUUUUUUCUUUCCCUAAAGCUUAUUUAUUUUCCUGUUUUAAUUCUUAUUCUUUAUUGUUCCGCAUCAAGACCUGGUUCAACUUUGGAUGGCUGAAGGUUUUCUCAGGCCAUCAAAUGGGAGGAUGGAAGACGAAGGCAGCAAGUGUUUCAAUGACUUGCUUGCAAAUUCCUUUUUCCAAGAUGUUAAAAGGAACGAGUGUG
rnacentral:lncRNA from 1 species